GACGAACGCUGGCGGCGUGCUUAACACAUGCAAGUCGAACGGAAAGGCCCCUUUGGGGGUACUCGAGUGGCGAACGGGUGAGUAACACGUGAGUAACCUGCCCUUGACUUCGGGAUAACUUCAGGAAACUGGGGCUAAUACCGGAUAGGAAUCCUUGCUGCAUGGUGGGGGUUGGAAAGCUUCGGCGGUUUUGGAUGGACUGGCGGCUUAUCAGCUUGUUGGUGGGGUAGUGGCUUACCAAGGCUUUGACGGGUAGCCGGCCUGAGAGGGCGACCGGCCACAUUGGGACUGAGAUACGGCCCAGACUCCUACGGGAGGCAGCAGUGGGGAAGAUUGCACAAUGGGCGGAAGCCGGAUGCAGCAACGCCGCGUGCGGGAUGACGGCCUUCGGGUUGUAAACCGCUUUCAGCAGGGGCGAAGCUUGUGGUGACGGUACCUGCAGAAGAAGCACCGGCUAACUACGUG
rnacentral:rRNA from 1 species